rnacentral:lncRNA from 1 species
UCGAGCGACCGGGUCUGACUAGAUCCCGGUGUAGUUCUGGAAGUGCAUGGGUAGGUCAAGAGUGGAGUGACUCUCCAGGUUAUUCAAUGCGAUCUUCGGGACUAAAAGGAUGGCGGAUGAGUGGAGGUGAAGUACAGUGGUGCCCUUGUACAAGAACAAAGGGGACAUCCAGUGCUGCAACAACUACAGGGGUAUCAAUUAAUAAGUCACACCAUGAAGGUCUGGGAGCGGGUGAUCGAGGCGAGGGUGAGGGAGAUGACAUCUAUAUCUGUGAACCAGUUCGGUUUCAUGCCGCAUCCAGUGCUGCAACAACUAUAGGUGUAUCAAAUUAAUAAGUCACACCAUGAAGGUCUGGGAGAGGGUGAUCGAGGCGAGGGUGAGGGAUGUGACAUCUAUAUCUAUGAACCAGUUCGAUUUCAUGCCGGGUCGCUCCACUACAGAAGCUAUCCACAUUGUCAGGCGGCUGAUGGAGCAGUUCAGGGAUAAGAAGAAGGACCUGCACAUGGUGCUUAUCGACUUGGAGAAGGCGUAUGACAAGGUCUCAAUGGAGGUGCUAUGGAGGUGCUUGGAGGCGAAGAGCGUGCCGGAAGCCUACAUCAGAGUAAUCAAGGACAUGUACGAUAGAGCUAAGACUAGNNNNNNNNNNNNNNNNNNNNNNNNNNNNNNNNNNNNNNNNNNNNNNNNNNNNNNNNNNNNNNNNNNNNNNNNNNNNNNNNNNNNNNNNNNNNNNNNNNNNNNNNNNNNNNNNNNNNNNNNNNNNNNNNNNNNNNNNNNNNNNNNNNNNNNNNNNNNNNNNNNNNNNNNNNNNNNNNNNNNNNNNNNNNNNNNNNNNNNNNNNNNNNNNNNNNNNNNNNNNNNNNNNNNNNNNNNNNNNNNNNNNNNNNNNNNNNNNNNNNNNNNNNNNNNNNNNNNNNNNNNNNNNNNNNNNNNNNNNNNNNNNNNNNNNNNNNNNNNNNNNNNNNNNNNNNNNNNNNNNNNNNNNNNNNNNNNNNNNNNNNNNNNNNNNNNNNNNNNNNNNNNNNNNNNNNNNNNNNNNNNNNACGGGACGGAGAGAUUGACGGGGACGUCACUCAUCGUAUAGGAGUGGGGUGGCCAAAGUGGAGGCUUGCAUCAGGAGUCCUGUGUGACAAGAAAGUUCAACAGAAACUCAAGGGAAAAUAUUAUAGAGAUGUGGUUAGACCUGCAAUGUUGUAUGGGGCGGAGUGCUGGACAGUAAAGAACUCUCAUGUUCAGAGAAUGAAGGUUGCGGAGAUGAGGAUGCUCAGGUGGAUGUGACAUGGCUAGAAUGCGGGCUUCUGAGGACAUGACCCUUGACAGGAAAGUCUGGAGGUCUAGUAUCAGGGUUGUAGGCUAGGAGCUCCUAGAGUUUUUUGUACUCCUCACCCGGGGUUGGGUGAGGCUUGGCAGGGCUAUCCUUAGAUGAAUUGUGUUUUGGAGUGUGUCUCCCUUAUGGUAGUUAUUUGUGGUAGUUAUUGUAUAAUAUUAUUGCAUGGUAUCUUAUUUAUGGUUCUUAUGUUUAGAUAAUUAUUUACGCUAUUUCUACUGGAGUUAAUAAUAGAUUUUGUGACUUUUUUAUUGGAAAAUGAGCCUCAAACAUUUAAACAAACUAUGUCUUUUUCGGAAUCAUUACUUUGGAAAGAGGCAGUCAAUAGUAAAAUAGAAUCCACACUGAACAACCAUACCUCUUUUGUUUAUGUUUUUGUUUUUCCUUUGCUUCACUGGGCCGAGAGUCGAUUGGAAACAGCCUCUCUACCCUUUCGUGUAGGGGUAAGGCUCGUCUACCUAUUACCCUCCCCAUACCCCACUUUGUGGGACUAUACUGGAUAGUUGUUAUUGUUGUUGUUAUUGUUAUCCUUUCUUUAGGUGCAGUAAUAAAGGUCCUGAUUUUUUGGUUAAGCACAUCUUGCAGGUAGGGUGGACAUACCGUUAAAUUUUGAGAAUUUAUCGUAAAGCUCUAAAGGGAACCUUGGCGCAACUUGUUGUCCUGGGAUAAGGAGGCCAGAAGUUCAAGCCGUGGAAACAACCUCUUAAAGAAAUGCAGAGUAAGGCCGCGUACAAUAGACCAUUGUGGUCCGGCCCUUCAACAGAACCUGUAUAUAACAGGAGUUUAGUGCACCAAGUAUGGAGCAGAGGUUCAGACAAUCAAAGAUUCAAAGACAAUUAUCGUUGAAGAAAUCUGAUAAUGAAAAUGAUGAGGAGGAUCCAGUACAGGGAGAAAUUUCUAAACAAAGAAGGAUCAGUGGAUGGAAUUUCAAUGUACAAGGAUUUGAACUUGUUCCAGUUUUCCCGGUCGAAAAAGAUCAACAGAUUGGCCUAAAAUAAGAUAAUGAUGACCUGGUGAAACAAGGCGAUGUAUCGGAAUUGGGUUCUGAUACAUCGACUACAAGUUUACGCCAAUCUGAGGUCGAAGGUGCUAUAGUUUGUAGUGGAGAUUGAAAAAAUCACACUGAAAGUGGAGGUAGGGAAGUAAUGUUGGCUAGUUUAUUGUUUUUAAAGAAGAGUUUGGAUGAUCAAAGGCAAAAUGUAAUAAGUUUUAUAAGUUUUUUCCAUGGGGAACAGCACAGUGUGGACAUGAGUAGGAAAGACCAUUUGAUUGAGGUGAUUGAUAAACUGAGAAUGAGAAGAACAAAAAAAAAUUGUGCUUUGCAGCUCGAGUUAGAGUUUCUGAAGGCGCACUAUUCGAACGACUAGUGGAACUGUAAUCUUACUCCUAACAGUUUUUUAUUAUUUAAUCUUUAGAUAUGAUCUUGGACUGAGAUUAAGCGACUAUUCAUGUAGCCGAUCCCAAUUUACUCGCAUUACGGCAUGGUUAUUAAGAUUGAAAGUUUAUGAUAUGUUUGUGUACAUUGUAAAUGCCUAUUGACUUUUUUUUUUAACUACUAAAGUUAAAAUGAUGUAUAUAUUCAGAUAUAUUUUGUUAGGAGGUGAAAACGAAAUUAAAAAAGUGCAGCAUUUUCUUUCCUUCAUUGUUGGGUUUUGGAUGUAUAUAAUUAAUAUAUUAAAUACUUAAAAGAGAAUGAAUGGGGAACAGAGGGAAAUGAAAUUUUUAAGUGAAAUUUUAAGUUUCCCCUUUGUAAAUGGACAUUCUCCCAUACUGGAAGAGGAACAGAUGUUUAUGGGUAUAUAAGCAAUUGCUCUUUUUCUAGCUCUUAAAGAAUUGAGAAGAAGUCAAGCCUCGUGCCGCCGCCGCCGUCACUCGCUCAGCUCGGAUUCGGUCAAAUAAUGUUAUUAAUAUUUAUUUUAAUAAUAGAAUAUUAAUAUUAAAUAAAUAUUAAUAUUACAUCCAUUUCAGUUUUCUAUUUUCGUAACAGAAAAUAACUACCCAUCAAUUUUCCCUCUUUAAUGUUGAGUAAAUAGCCAUUUAUUUAAUGGCAUUUGUACUGUGGCCGUUUUGCAAAAAUAACUAUUCUGAAGAGUUGCACCUCUUCAGAUUUCAGCCCAACUUUGGCUAUAAAUACAAUACUAUUAUCCUCAGAAUUUUACUAUAAUUUUCUGAGUUUCUUCUCCUUCUUCUGCAUACUUUUAGCAUCAAACAAAAUAAAAGGCAAGUGUAAUUUGCUACCAAACUUUGUGUUUGCUGAAAUACUGGGGUUUGAAGUACUACUACUCCAGUGUGUAAUUCGUUCUAUUCUGGGAGGAAAUAAUCCAUAACCGUGGGUACUAGGGUACUAGGAGGGGAUUAAAUUCCAUAAGAAAAUACUGUGAAUUCAGUGGGCUCGAGUUGAUUUUUUGUCAUUUUUAUUUAUGUUCAUUUCUAUUUAUAUUCAUUUAUAUUUCCAGAAUUAUUUUACAAGUACAGUAUACUAACAAGCUUAAGGAAUUUAAUAUAUAGUUUCUAUAUUUGUACUCGUUGUUUCUGGAAGAGUAAAACCUUUGUGGUUUUGUACUCUAUUAAUAUCUACGUGAUUUUAACAUUUGUGUCAUUCUUUUACAUAUAUGACUAAUGAGAAUAAGAAUCAAGGUAAUGGUGACUGUCAAUGCCUCAACAAACCGAAAGACAUCGGCAGCAUUGGCACCGAUAAAAAAACUCGAAAAUUUUUUUGGGAUUGAUUUCAUUUGCUGGCAGCAAAAGAUGUUCUUCUAUUUGACUACUCUAAAUCUCCAGAAGUUCAUCAAGGAAGAUGUUCCAGUUAUGGCCGAUAAAACUCCAGAAACUAAAUGUUUUUUCGUGAUUGAGGCGUGGAAGCGUUCAUUCUUUUUGUGCAAGAAUUAUAUUCCAAGAGGGCUAGAAGAUACUUUGUAUAACAUCUAUAGUGGCAUGGAAAUGUCAAAGGAACUGUGGACUGCGCUUGAAAAGAAAUACAAACUAAAGAUGACGGGUUGAAAAAGUUUGUUGCUACAAAGUUUUUGUACUACAAAAUAGUAGAUAGCAAGUCUUUAUUACCCAAGUCCAGAAACUGCUAGUGAUUAUUCACGAUUUCCUUGCUAAUGGUACAAAAUAAAAUUAAUAUUGAUGUUGAAAGUAAUAAUCUUAGUAUUUUUACUAACAUAAAUUUUAUUAAAGGUCCAGUCUUCAAUGAAGCAUUUCAAGUAGCAGCGAUGAUUGAGAAGUUGCCUUCUUUGUGGAAGGAAUUCAAAAACUACUUGAAACACAAACGCAAUGAGAUGUCCCUUGGAGAUCUCAUUGUUCUGUUAAGAAUCGAAUAGGACAACAAAGCUGCUGAAAAGAGAGGCCGUGGAAACUCAACAAUUAUGGGAGCAAAUAUUGUUGAAGAGAACAAAAAGAGGAAGAAAGUUUCUAGACUGAGAUACAACCCAAGCAAGAAGAGGUUCUGUAGAAACUGCUACAACUGUGAAAAAAUCAAACACAAAUCUAUGGAGUGUCGUGCUCCGAGGAAAGACAAGAAGAAAGGUCAAGCAAACAUGGUUGAAAAAUAUGAUGAUGUUGAUGAUUUAUGUACCGCUCUUUCCGAAUGCAACUUGUUAGGCAAUCCUAAAAAGUGGUGGAUUGAUUUUGGAGUCAUUCGCCAUGUUUGUUCUGUUAGAGAAGCUUUUUCUUCUUACACUCAUGUUGGACCCGAUGAGACGAUUUCUAUUGGAAAUGCUUCAAAGAUGAAGAUUGAAGGAUGUGAGAAGAUAUUUCUCAAAUGACUUCCCGGAAAGUGAUGACUUUGAACAACGUUCUUCAUGUUCCCGAGAUUAGGAAGAAUUUAGUCUUUACUAGACUUCUUGUUAAGAAUGGCUUUAAAUGUAUUUUUGUUUCCGAUAAGGUUGUAAUAAGUAAGAAUGAAAUAUUUGUAGGAAAAGCUUACUUCACUGAGGGCCUUUUAAAGCUUAAUGUAUUUUUUGCUGAAAAUAAUAAUAAAAUUUAAGCUUCAUCUUACUUACUUGAGUCAAAUGAAUUAUAACAUAUACGUUUGGGUCGUGUCAAUUAUAAAACCUUACGGAAAAUAAUUAAUUUGAAAGUAUUUCCCAAGUUUGAAUGUGACAACAAAAUGUCAAGUAUGUGUGGAAUCUAAGUAUGUUAAAAAUCCUUAUAAGUCAGUUGAAAGGGAUUCAAAUCCUUUUGACAUAAUAUACACAGAUAUUUGUGAUAUGAAGUCAAUACCAUCUCGCUGUGGAAAGAAGUAUUUCAUAAAUUUUAUUGACGAUUGUACUCGAUAUUGCUAUGUUUACUUACUUAAUGGUAAAGAUGAAGUAAUAGAAGCAUUCAAGCAAUACAAAAAAUAAAGUUAAACUGAAACUUAAUAAUAAAAACACUACAAUAAGAAGUGAUAGGGGUGAUGAAUAUGAAUCUCCUUUUGAACAAAUAUAUUUAAAAUAUGGAAUUAUUCAUCAAACAACGAUCCCUUACAUGCCCCAAUCCAAUGAAAUUGCAGAAAGAAAAAAUCGUUCAUUAAAGGAGAUGAUUAACACAUUAUUGAUAAGUUUUGGUUUGCCACAGAACUUGUGGGGGGAAGCCUUUCUUACGGCUAGCUGAAUACUAAAUCGAGUACCCUAUAGCAAAACACAAGACAUUCCAUCUGAAAAUGGAAAGGAAGGAAGCCCAACUUGAAUUAUUUUAAAGCGUGGGGGUGUUUGGCAAGAUGCAAGUUCCUAAACCCAAAAGGGUAAAAAUAGGACCGAAAACUGUUAAUUGUGUUUUCAUAGGAUAUGCGACUAAUAGUAAAGCAUAUCGAUUUCUCGUUCAAAAAUUAGAAAAUCCUAACAUUCAUAAUAAUACGAUUAUAGAAUUAGGUAAUGAUGAGUUCUUUGAAAAUAUAUAUCCGCAUAAAAAUGAACGUGAGUCGAUUGGUGAAGGAUCUAAAUGACCUCGGGAAGAAACAAAAAAAGUACACUUAACUAGGAGGAUCCAAGACAUAGUAAAUGUCAAGAACGUCUACUUCAUUUAGACCAGAUUUUGUGACUUUCUUAUUGGAAAAUGAGCCUUAAACAUUUAAAGAAGGUAUGUCUUCUUCGGAAUCAUUGUUAUAGAAAGAGGCAGUCAAUAGUAAAAUAGAAUCCACACUGAACAACCAUACAUAGGAACUGGUUGAUCUUCCUCCUGAAAAUAAACCAUUGGGUUUGAAAUGGAUCUUUAAGAGGAAAAUGAAAAUGAUGGCACUACUAAAAAGUAUAAGGCAAGACUUGUGGUCAAAGGGUAUAGACAACGAGAAGGUCUUGACUAUUUUGAUACAUACUCUCCAGUUACAAGAAUUACGUCCAUACAAACGUUAGUAGCAUUACCUGCAAUUUAUGGUCUUGAAAUUCAUCAAAAGGAUGUUAAGACGGCCUUCUUAAAUGGAGAGUUGGAGGAAGAAAUCUACAUGGAACAACCUGAAGGGUUUGUGGUUNNNNNNNNNNNNNNNNNNNNNNNNNNNNNNNNNNNNNNNNNNNNNNNNNNNNNNNNNNNNNNNNNNNNNNNNNNNNNNNNNNNNNNNNNNNNNNNNNNNNNNNNNNNNNNNNNNNNNNNNNNNNNNNNNNNNNNNNNNNUUAAAACAAGCACCCAAAUAAUGGCAUGCUAAAUUUGACCAAACAAUGUUGUCAAAUGGAUUUAAGUAAAUGUAUGUACAUUAAAAAUGUUCCAAAUCACAUAGUCAUUGUUUACUUAUAUGUGGAUGAUAUGAUCAUAAUGAGUAAUGACAUUGACAACAUAAAUUCUACUAAGUGUAUGCUAACUAGCAAGUUUGAUAUGAAAGACUUGGGAGUUGCUGAUUUAAUUCUGCGAAUUAAGAUCCAUAAGACUUCUCAAGGUGUAGCAUUGUCACAAUCUCAUUAUAUUAAGACAGUACUUGAAAAAUUCAAGCACUUGGGCUUUAUAGUUGCAAAGACUCCAAUUGAUGUGAAUCUUGCAUUAGCAAAGAACAAAAGGGCAGAGCAUAUCAUAAUUGGAUUAUGCUCGUGUGUUGGGUUGCUUAAUGCAUAUCAUGAAUUGUACAUGACCAGACAUGUUAACCCGGGUAGUGGUGGAACCCCCAGCGAGUCUCGAGAUGAAGAAUCAGGAAACAUAGUCAAUUCUUAUUUACAAAAUUUAGUAUUAAUGUUGUAGAAAUAGUUUAAGGAGGAAAGUGACCGCAUAGAGCAAAUACCCGGGGUACCGCCUGUAAUCAAGGAAAUAGAUAUGGACAAAUAUUUGCAACAACUUUUGAAGGCAAGUGAUGCUCUUCUCCCAAUUCAUAAGAAAUUCAAGAUGCCCGAUAUUCCAAAAUACGAUGGAACAACUUAUCCACGAGACCACGUGGCUGCAUUCACAACUGGUGUAAAGGGCAAUGACUUGACCAAAUAGGAAAUUGAAUCAGUAUUGGUCAAAAUAUUUGGUGAAACACUCACUAAGAGAGCAUUAAUAUGGUAUUCUAUUCUACCCAAAAAUUCUAUAAAUUCUUUUGCUGAACUUGCAGAUUCGUUUAUCAAACCACAUUUGGGAGCUCAAAAAAUCGAAAAAAGAAUGGAAGAUAUUUUUAAAUUAAAGCAAGGAGAUUCAGAGUUGCUCAAAGAAUUUGUAGACAGAUUCAUGCGUGAAAGAAUGACGUUGCCACAUGUACCUGAUAACUGGGCACCUAUAGCAUUUACCAGCAAUCUAAAUGAGAAGAGUUCGUAGGCUACAAGACGACCCAAUAAAGCCUAUGAGAAUUUCCAGCAACAACUUGGAAUAACGUUUACCACAGAUACAUCACGAAGAUGUGGAUAGAGGAAGAUACUAUUACCCACCCGCAAAAGGAAGAAAGGGUAGUUUCAAGGCGUGCCGAAACUGAAAAAAAGUCUGGGAAAAAUAGAUACGAGCCUUACAUGGGACUAGCGGGAAAAUACUCACGAUCCAAAGAGGAUAACUCAUGGUAUGAUCGUAGGUCGAUAGAUAGAGAAUCAGGUUCGUCUUUAAGGUUUAGAAAAGAGCAUGACACGUGGGAGACACGUGGUGAUGAUAGAAGCUCUAAGGCGAUGAAUGGCAGUUACAAUUUCAAUGUAAGCACUUUAGAAUUAGUAGAGGUAUUAAGAAACAUGGGUGACAAGGUGCGGUGCCUAAAAGAAAUGAGAUCAAAUCCAAAUAAAUAUAACCCUGAUCAUUGGUGUGAGUUUCAUAAUGAUCAUGGUCAUAAAAUGACAGAAUAUAGAUUUCUAUAAGGUUAAGUAGACCAUUUAUUAAAGCAAGGAUAUCUCCGAACUAUUUAGUGAAAAAGGUAAGAAAGCGUACAUGAAAAAUAGGCAAGAGCCCCGUAAACCUCCUUCUUCAAAAAGGGCCAUUAAGAUUAUAAGCAUGGGCGAAUAAAUUAACGGUGUGACAUAAACGGCAUCCAAGAAAAUUUCUGAAGUUACACACAAGAAGCGGUUUCGACAUGUUUUGGAGAAGGAAAGCAUUACAUUUGAUGAUGUAGAUGCGGAUGGCAUACCAACUCACACAAUGAUGAACUGAUAAUAUCUCUACUUGUACAUAAUACUAACAUAAAACGAGUUUUGAUUGACCUAGGUAGCUCCGUGAACAUAAUUUUGCUAAGAGUAUUAAGCGAGAUGCAAGCUGAAGAUAAGAUAGUAUCCAAGGAACAUACACUAUCUUGCUUUAAUAAUUCUAGUGUCGUAAUAAAAGGAGAAGUAAUACUUACAACCUUCACCGAAUGAGUUAUCAAAGAUACGAAAUUUCAGGUGGUAGAGAUGGAUAUGACAUACAAUAUGAUUCUCGAGAGACCAUGGAUUCACGAAAUGGAAGUUGUGCCAUCUACCUUGCGUCAAGUCAUCAAAUUUCCAUCACAAUAGGGAAUCUGUCAUAUCCGUAGUGAUCAACAAACACUCGGGAGCAUCAGUUCUAUAGCAAAUUCAAAAAUAAAAAAUGAAGAAAAAUAGAAAUGACAAAAUCCAAUGGAGGAUGCUACACCACAAACCUCAAUGGAGAUGGGAAAAUAGAUGUAGACUCACGACCUGACGUCAUCCAAUAACUAGAAGAAAAUGGAAAUAUCAAAACAACGAUUUAAGAAUUGGAGGCUCCAGAACUAUUCGUACAAAAAUCUGAGAGGAAAUUCUACAUUGGGGCCAACUUAAGCCACGAAAUGGAAGGUAAGAUAAUUGAAUUUUUGAAAUGUAAUGUGGAUUUCUUUGCAAGGUCCCAUUCUGUUAUGACAAAGAUACCCCCAGAGGUAAUGACUCACAAAUUAAAUGAAGAUCCAUCAUAUCCACCUAUCAAAUAAAAGAAGAGAAAGCAAGGGUCUUUGAAAAAUCAAGUGAUUCAAGAAGAGGUCCAUAAACUUUUAAAAGUAGGCUCUAUUCACGAGGUAAAGUACCCUAAUUGGUUAGCUAAUACUGUAGUGGUACCAAAAAAUAAUGACAAAUGGCAAGUUUGUGUAGACUACACUGACCUUAACAAAGCUUGUCCAAAAGAUUCUUUUCCGUUACCACAUAUAGAUCAACUGAUUCAUGCUACUACAGAACAUGAAUAUUUAAAUUUAUUAGAUGCAUAUCUAGGGUAUAAAAUGGACCCCUUAGAUUAGGGAAAAAACUUCAUUUAUAACAGACAAAGGGACUUACUGUUACAAAGUAAUGCCCUUUGGCCUAAAAAUGCUGGUGCCACGUGUCAAAUGUUAGUGACCAAGAUGUUUCAGGAACAUCUAGGAAAAACUAUGGUAGUUUAUAAAGAUGAUGUGCUUGUGAAAUCUCAACAAGUAGGGAAUCAUAUACCAUAUUUGUUUGAUACAUUUCAGAUCUUACGAAAGUCUAAUAUAAAGCUAAAUCCCGAGAAAUAUGCAUUUGGCGUCUCAUCAGGAAAGUUAUUAGGUUUUCCUAUUUCUAACAGUGGUAUUGAAGUAAAUCUCGCACAGAUCAAAGCCAUUGAAGAAAUUUCUGAUAUACUUAUAAAUAAGAAAGAAGUACAGAGACUAAUGGGACGAAUUUCAGCCUUGGGGAGAUUUAUUUCUAAGUCAUCAAAAAAAUGCUUUAAAUUCUUUUCAGCUCUUAAAAAGCAAGAUCAGUUAGAAUGAUCUGAGGAGUGUCAACAAGCACUCAAAAACUUAAAGACGUACCUAUAAAACCCACUAUUUCUCGCAAACCAAAAGAUGGGGAAGAUUGCUUAUCUAUUUAGCGGUUUCAGAAGUAGCGGUAAGCGCUGUUUUUGUUCGUGAAGACCUAGGUAAAUGCUCUACAAUUUAUUAUGUUAGAAAAUCAAUAUUAGAUGUAGAGACACAGUAUCUUCAACUCGCAAUACUUGCACUUGCAUUAAUCAUGGCAUUUAGAAAAUUAAGGCCUUAUUUUAAGUAUCACCCUAUCUCUGUAGUGACAGCUUAUCGCCUACGUAAUAUAUGACACAAACGAGAACUAUCAGGUAGGUUAUCCAAGUGGGCAAUAAAAUUGAGUGAAUAUGACAUCACAUAUCAAUCUAGUACUACAAUAAAAUCAUAGGUGUUAGCAGACAUUUUGGCCAAUUUUAGUCAAGGGAUGCAACUAGAAGCAGAAAAAGAACUACAAGUGUUCAAGGGAUCUAAUCUAGGAGCCUGGACCUUAUUUACUGAUGGCUCAUUGAAUGUAAAAGGGGCGGGUCUAGGAAUUAUAUUAGUACCACCUACAAGUAAAACCAUACGGCAAGUUAUAAAAUGUCAUCCUCUAACUAAUAAUGAGGUAGAGUAUGAAGCCGUGAUUGCAGGUUCAGAUCUGUCGCAUGAACUUGAAAUAGAACAAGUUGUAAUCAAAAGCGAUUUGCAGCUUGUAGUCAACCAUAUGAUGGGUACUUAUACAGCUAGGGAAGAAAGAAUGUAGAAAUUCUUGGAAAAGGAGCGAUAUCGGGCUAGGCAGUUCCAAAACUGCAAGGUCUUGCAGAUCCCACGAGAAGAAAAUGGUGAGGCAAACACCUUAGCUAAUCUUGCAUCCGCAGUAGAAGUAACAAAUGAUGAAAACGCUUAUGUUAUACAUCUAUCUCAUUUAGUGCUUGAUCAAGAUAAAAAUAAGCUAAAUUUAAAUAACUUAACUUGGGAUUGGAGUAACGAGAUUGUCACUUUUUUGCAGCAUGGAACCGUCCCUGAAGAUAAGAAAAGGGCUCACGCGCUUCACAAAAAAGAUUCUUGGCACCAUUUAAAAAAUGGCAUUCUCUAUUGAAAAAUGUUUGGUGGUCCUUUAGCAAGAUGUCUCGAACCUUCUCAACCAGACUAUGUGAUGAGAGAAAUCCACGAGAUACAUUGUGAAUAUCAUGCGGGAGGAAGAUCUUUAAUAAAAACCAUGAUUAGAGCAGGUUAUUAUUGGCAUAAAAUGGAAGAAGAAGCAGAAACUUUUGUGGCUAAAUGUGAAUAAUGCCAGAGAUACGGUAACAAUAUGCAUAGACUGGAAGAAUUGUUACAUCUAGUCAUUGCAAUGUGGCCCUUUGUGAAGUGAGGAAUGGAUAUCGUGGGACCACUAAACAAAAAAAAGGCAAGGUAAAAUUUUUGCUAGUACUCUUUGAUUACUUUACUAAGUGGGUGGAAGUGGGUGCUUCAAAACAUGUAUGAGAAAAGGAGGUCAGAGAUUUCAUUCGGCGAAAUACCAUAUGUCGGUUUGGCGUACCAAAAGAAAUCGUAUGUGAUAAUGGCACGUAACUUAUAGGAGCGCAGAUCACGGAGUUUUUCAAAGUUGGCAAAUCAAAAGGAUUACCUCAACACCUUAUCAUUCGGUGGGUAAUGGACAAGAUGAACCAACAAAAAAAUUCAUUAUCAACAAUUUGAAAAAAUUAUUAGAGGAAUCCAAAGGCAAUUGGCUAGAGGUAUUGCCCGGUAUUUUAUGGGAUUACCGCAUAACAACAAAAAUAAGUAUGGGAGAAACACCAUUUUCACUGGUAUAUGGAGCUGAAGCCUUGAUCCUAGUCGAGAUAGGGGAGCCAAGCACGAGAUAUGCACAAUCAACUAAUGAAUCUAAUGAAGAAGAAUAUGAAUAAACUUAAGUUUACUUGAAGAAAGAAGGGAAACUGCGUUAAUAAGAAUGACAACACAAAAAUAGGUUAUGGACCGAUAUUAUAAUCGGUAAGCACGCCUAAGAUACUUCAAGAUUGGGAACUCCGUACUCAAAAAGGUUUUUCAAUGUACAACAGAAGCUAAUGCGGGAAAAUUAAGUCCUAGCCGGGAAGGGCCUUAUUAGAUUCAUGGUAUCGCAAGAAAAGGAGCAUACGAUCUAGAAAAAAUGGAUGGUAAGAUUUUACUUUUAUAUUGGAAGGCCGUUCAUCUGAAGAGAUACUACUUCUAAGGAAAGAAGUAUCCACGGGCAGGUACCUUCAUUUUCAAUUAUAUUUUUGAAUUGUUAAAAUUUUACUAACAAUUUUAAAUGAUAAGAAAAAAGCUAACCCAUACUAAAUGAUGAAUCACGACCUGCAAGACACGUGAAAAACAUUAAAUUCCCGGUCUAGGGUUACAAUUUAUUCUGAUAGAAAUUCAAAAUGGGUUAAGUAGUCUUCAUCUAAAUUGCACCUCCGAGUCCCGUGCAUUUUUUCUUCCUUUUCAGAAAAAGACUGAAUGAGAGGAGUAAUCAAGUGCUCAAUAUUUCAUACUUCAAAGCUCAAACACAAGGGGGACUAUAUAAUAUACGGAGAAAGAAGGCAAAGAAGACUGAAGAGUCAAAGCCCAAAAAAGUCUACUCAUUAAAUGAAUCAAGUGCAGAGCAAAGUUACAAGCCAAAAACAUAAAUCCAAAGUAAAAAACCUUAUCAUAUGUAGGUUAAAGGAAAUGUAUAAAAAUGGGUUAUAAACGAAAACCUUGUGUUUUAUUUCUUUUUUGAAAAUCUGUUGUAAAGAAACAGUCACGAAAAAGUUAUACAAGUUAUUUAAACACAUGUAAAGAUGUUAUUUGAACUUGAAACAGUUCAAAUAUUUAUCAAAGUUAUUUGAAUUAACAUGUGUGUUCCUAUUUCUUUUAUGGUAUAUUUACACCAUUAUGAAGUUGAGAUGUCUUCUUCAUUAAGUGUCAAAAAUAAAAGGGUCCUCUUUUAUAAAAAUCAUGUGUGAUUUAAACAUCCACGAAGUUAAUAAAACAUUUUAUGAAAUAAAAAUGCAAAAAAGGGUAAAACAUAAAACCACGAAUUAAUUAACAAGUCCUUAAGUAUAAAAGCAAAGUCGAGCAAAACAAAAGUUCAAAAUAACUAAGUUUAAAUAGAAAAACUUCUUAAAUAUUAAAAAGUUUAGACUAAGUAUGAACUUAGUCAUCAACUACUUGUCAUUUAUAAAAGAAACGCCCUGAAAAGUUCUAGGUACUUAUCGUUUCCAAAAAACCAAACCCCUAAAUGGGAUAAGGGGCUAUAACCACAUUCCACAAAGAACAAAAAAGAUCAUAAACUUUUCACUGAGGGGCUAAAGAAGGAUCUGAAAUAGGGUCAUGAGCAACAGAAGGUUUGGAAUGGCUUGAAGGAGUUCGAGCAUCCACCAUACCCAUUUCAUCUUUGAUGGGCUCAGGAAUAUCAGCCAUGGGAGAAGGAACGUCUUGGCCUUGUUGAGUUUUUUCAAUAGUCUCUUUUAUUUUGGCUAACUCCGCGUCCAAACUAAAGCCCUCUUGGCUAAUUUCCAUCAGGGUAUCAUGGCGGGUGUUUAGAAUUUCCCAACUCACUUCCAUUGUAGUCUUUUCUUCAAGAAUCUUGUAAUCUUUCGACCAUUGAUCAAUCGUCUUUAAGCUUUUCAUUUUCAGCUAGGAAAAAAUCAUAAGAAGCACGCAAAGGAGCGAGUGAACUCUCUAGAAAGAUGACCUUGGUAGAAGACUCACGAAGAUCUUCCUGGGUGUGAGAAAGUGUUUGUACGAGUUCACCAACAUAAGAUUCUUUCUUACUUAGAAAAGCCUUCAAUUCUCUGAUUUCUUCAUUGGCUUUGGAAUGUUGCUCGGAGAAAGAUGUUUCAAGAAGAUUCUUGUCCUUAUCACCUUGACUUGAGCAUGCCUUCUCAACUGCUAACUCUGAGCUUAAAACCUUCAAUUGCUGCUACAAGGUAUGCUUACUCUCUUCUAACACUUCGAUAUUAAUUUGGAGACACUCAUACUGAUCUAGUUGUCCGCUUCAACUUGAUAUUCACGCAUUAAUUGCUCUAUGCGAGAAACACUCUUCAUCAUCUCUGUGCCAACUAGAUUGAUCUAAUAAAAAAGGGGUAAGAACCUAAAAUAAAAAAAGUAAGGUAAAGUUCAAAAAAGAAUACCUUUAAAGAAGGUUGCAGUAUGUCAUUCAUCCAAGUCAAAGAGUUAUGACUCUCAAGCUUGGCAUUCUCAACUGAACCCAUCACAGGUUUCAGCCACACAUAAGCCUGACCUGAUCUCCUCGAAAGGUUACCAGCAGCAGGAACCUCGACGAUAACAUGCCUCAUAACUUCACCUCCACUUGAGGAACCAACCUCAGUGUGAUGGACAGUUGUAGAAGGAGCUCUAGAGGGAGUUAAAAUAGCCUCGGGAGGAGCAGCAACGGCAACAGUCACGACUGGCAAAGAAGGUCUCACAUGAGCAUAUAUGGAAAAAGAGGAAAGAGGCACUUCAUCAUAAAUUGGAUCCAAACUUUCAUUAUCAAACCCAUGGGCAAAAAGCUGAGUAAUAGAGUCACGAGCGGUAGGGGAAUAUCAUUAUCGGAAAUGACCAAGGCGACUUCAACAGGCUCGGUGGCAAGAACAGAACGAGGGAAAAAUGCUUCAUCAUCUGAAAUAAUGCGUCUUCUAGCUUGUGGUCUUCUUAUCAAAGAGCCCCUAUCUUGUUCUUCCUCUUCUUCUGAGUCUUGCUUGGUGGAAGAUUUCCUUUUCAAUGAAGAACCCAAGAUAAUCUCUUGGGCUCCUUCCAAAGAAAUUCUAGAAGAACCGACGGCCUCAACACUUAUGCCUCGAAUGGGAAAUCCUGACAAAAAGAAGGAUCAAAAUAAUUUCUGAAGAAAGAAGUGAGAAAAAUGCACUUACCGUGAGUUUUCACUAUCCAACCAAAUCGAUGAGAAUGGUUUUUCCAAGAUCUACUUUCCAACGGAGCAACACUUAACAACAUUCCUACCCAACCACAAAAAUUGAGAAUCUCAUCAACAGUUUCUAUGAUUGCUAAAAAUAUAGAAGGGAGAAAGUUAAAAUGGCAACCAUCGAAAUUAAGAAAAGGUAUGGAAAAAUUAUAAAAAACUCACGUGCAAAAUUCUAUUUCUCUGUGAAUGGAACAUUUUCUCACCCACAAAACCAACAGUAGGGGCAGCAACAAACCUGUCAUACCAGCCACGAUCCUUAUCUUCUUCUGGGUUAACCAAAACUCUUUUGCUUCUUGCUACUAAAGUAAAAAUUCCUUGACGAAAGAGUUAGGAAGAAUACAGAGGAAUUAAAUGAAAUAAAGUAAAAGGUAUGCCAGCCAUAUUGGCCAAAUGCCUCAAACAAGCAAUUGCCCUCCAGACGAUAAGGCCAAUUUGGCCUAAGCAAACAUUAAAAAGCGACAAAAUUCAAGGAUUACAGGGUCAAUAAGAGGAUUGAAAUUUAAUGUGAAAGGAUAUGUAUAUACAAAAGAAAACCCAGUCAAAUACGAAGUGGCUCUUUCGUUUGUAUUGAGGAUUAUAAUGGGGAAAUCAUGACUCUAAUGACUCUGUACGAACCACAGAAAUCAAACCUUUAGUGAUUUGAGUUGAAUAAAUGUCAGCAGGCUCUAAUGAAGACAUAUAAGAAUCUUGAUUUCUAAUAAACUCUCUAUCAUUAUAGAAAGAUAGUUCAGCAUGAACAAUCUCAUCUACCAAAGGUUCACGAAGAGGUUCAGUUGGUUCUUUACCUCUAGAUGAAUAA